GGCGGGUGAGUGACGCGUGGAUAACCUGCCUUAUACAGGGGGAUAACGGAGAGAAAUUUCCGCUAAGACCGCAUAAGACCACAGCACCGCAUGGUGCAGGGGUAAAAUAUUUAUAGGUAUAAGAUGGAUCCGCGUCCGAUUAGCUUGUUGGUGAGGUAGAGGCUCACCAAGGCGACGAUCGGUAGCCGGCCUGAGAGGGUGAACGGCCACAUUGGGACUGAGACACGGCCCAA
rnacentral:rRNA from 1 species